GAUUCCUACGGGAGGCAGCAGUAGGGAAUAUUGGGCAAUGGAGGAAACUCUGACCCAGCAAUGCCGCGUGAAUGAAGAAGGUCUUCGGAUUGUAAAGUUCUUUAGUCAGGGAAGAAGUCAAUGACGGUACCUGAAGAAUAAGCUCCGGCUAACUACGUGCCAGCAGCCGCGGUAAUACGUAGGGAGCAAGCGUUGUUCGGAAUGACUGGGCGUAAAGGGUGCGUAGGCGGUUGUACAAGUUAGAAGUGAAAAACCCAGGGCUUAACUCGGGGGCUGCUUCUAAAACUGUAUGACUUGAUUGCAGG
rnacentral:rRNA from 1 species